CUGAGAGGAGGCGGAGCGUCGCCGCGCCCCGCCACGGAUCCCUCCGCACGCCUGGGCCCGCCUCUCCGAGGCGCAUCGCCCAGUCCUACCGCAGAAGGAGCGGUUUCCGGUUCCUUCCGCCCUUAGGCCCGCCCCUUCCUGCCCCCUCGGGAGCGGAACUUGGUUGCCAAGGGACUAUUCCCCACCCCUCCCCACUGCGGGCCAGACUUGGUUUAGAACCGCGGAAGGAGACUUUAAGUUUACCACACGUGUUUACAGUGCCUGCGUGGUGUCAUGGGAACCGGGAGGCGUGUGGAGGGGUGGAGUCACGCCAGACACCUCCCCUGAAGGGCGGGAAGAGUGGAGAAGGUGGCUUUGUGCCAAAGACAGAUAACUAUUAUUCCCGAUGUGUUGACACCAGACUUUAAUCCUAGCACCGGAUUUAAUCCCAGCAGAGAAUUUGAGGCCAGCCUGGUCUGUCUACAUAUCGAGCUCCGGGACAGCCAGGACUCAGAGACACCCUGUCUCAAAAAAUAAAUGUUGGUUGGCCCAGGAGAACAGGAGACAGGAGAAUGUGAGCUAAUGAACCAGUAUUGAGUGCUCUAUUUUACAUCAUCGCCUUUAAUUAUCAAGUCAUGAAAGCCACAGAAGCUGUAUUUGUCCUGAACCAGACACGGACUGAGCACAGCAUCCAUCUCUGUGUUGUUAAGAUCCAUCCUUUAGACUGGUGUGUGUGGAAUCUAUUACUGUCCUCCCAGCACAGGCGUGGGAAGAGGACAAGUCAUGGAGUAGGUCCUUCCUCUACUACGCAGGUUUGGGGCUGAACCCAGACCAUCAGUCUUGCAGCAAACGCCUGUAACUGCCAUGUCACUGGCCCAAGAUCUUAUUUUAAUCUAUAAACUCAACUCCGUACUACCAAGAAAGAGUUACAUUUGCCUUUUAAGUUCCCACAGACCAAACGACAAAAUAGAAUCUGCAUUUAGAAAUGGACCUGCUACCAAUACCAAUACACGUUUAUUGGAAUUUGGAAUGUAAACAGAUGUUUCAAACAAACAAUCUAACCUUAUAAAAAUGUAUGGCAUUAUUAAAUAGUUACUGAAGAAA